rnacentral:rRNA from 1 species
AGUGAACGCUGGCGGUAGGCCUAACACAUGCAAGUCGAACGGCAGCACAGGAGAGCUUGCUCUCUGGGUGGCGAGUGGCGGACGGGUGAGGAAUACAUCGGAAUCUACUCUGUCGUGGGGGAUAACGUAGGGAAACUUACGCUAAUACCGCAUACGACCUACGGGUGAAAGCAGGGGACCUUCGGGCCUUGCGCGAUUGAAUGAGCCGAUGUCGGAUUAGCUAGUUGGCGGGGUAAAGGCCCACCAAGGCGACGAUCCGUAGCUGGUCUGAGAGGAUGAUCAGCCACACUGGAACUGAGACACGGUCCAGACUCCUACGGGAGGCAGCAGUGGGGGAUAUUGGACAAUGGGCGCAAGCCUGAUCCAGCCAUACCGCGUGGGUGAAGAAGGCCUUCGGGUUGUAAAGCCCUUUUGUUGGGAAAGAAAUCCAGCUGGCUAAUACCCGGUUGGGAUGACGGUACCCAAAGAAUAAGCACCGGCUAACUUCGCGCCAGCCGCCGCAGUAA